UACGUAGGGUCCGAGCGUUGUCCGGAAUUAUUGGGCGUAAAGGGCUCGUAGGCGGUUUGUCGCGUCGGGAGUGAAAACCAUGAGCUUAACUCAUGGCUUGCUUUCGAUACGGGCAGACUAGAGGCAUGCAGGGGAGAACGGAAUUCCUGGUGUAGCGGUGAAAUGCGCAGAUAUCAGGAGGAACACCGGUGGCGAAGGCGGUUCUCUGGGCAUGUCCUGACGCUGAGGAGCGAAAGUGUGGGGAGCGAACAGG
rnacentral:ncRNA from 2 species